AGAGUUUGAUCCUGGCUCAGAAUGAACGUUGGCGGCGUGGAUUAGGCAUGCAAGUCGCGCGAUAAGUCCCCGCAAGGGGAUGGAAAGCGGCGAAAGGGACAGUAAUGCGUAGAUACCUACCCUCGGGCUCGGGAUAGCUGCGGGAAACUGCAAUUAAUACCGAAUAACGUCUCCGGACCAAAGGUGUGAUUCCGCCUGAGGAUGGGUCUGCGUCCUAUUAGCUAGUUGGUGUGGUAACGGCGCACCAAGGCAAAGAUGGGUAGCAGGUGUGAGAGCACGACCUGCGUCACUGGGACUGAGACACUGCCCAGACACCUACGGGUGGCUGCAGUCGAGGAUCUUCGGCAAUGGGCGCAAGCCUGACCGAGCGACGCCGCGUGCGGGAUGAAGGCCUUCGGGUUGUAAACCGCUGUCAGAGAGGCGGAAGUAUAGGGGGGUUCUCCCUUCUAUUGACCUAAUCUCAGAGA
rnacentral:rRNA from 1 species